UACGUAGGGGGCUAGCGUUGUCCGGAAUCAUUGGGCGUAAAGCGCGUGUAGGCGGUCCGGUAAGUCCGCUGUGAAAGUCGGGGGCUCAACCCUCGAAAGCCGGUGGAAACUGUCGGGCUAGAGUGCGGAAGAGGCGAGUGGAAUUCCUGGUGUAGCGGUGAAAUGCGCAGAUAUCAGGAGGAACACCAGUGGCGAAGGCGGCGAUCUGGGUAGAUACUGACGCUGAGGUGCGAAAGCGUGGGGAGCAAACAGG
rnacentral:rRNA from 1 species